CCAAUUUGUUCAAUGCAACAUGAAGAUCCGAUGAAUCCUUUUGGUAUACUUCUCCCUUGGCUCAUAAAAGGUUGCUGAUUUUGGCCUUGCUCGUGCUUCGAAAGAUGGCUCUGUUUGCUUCGAACCUGUAAACACUGAUAUUCGGGGAACUCAUGGUUAUAAUGAUCCGGAGUAUGUGGUUACUCGAAAGCUCACAAAGAAAAGUGAGGUAUACAGUUAUGGAAUUGUGUUGUUAGAGCUAGUUACUGAAAGACGAGCAAUACAAAACAACAAAAACUUGGUUGAGUGGUCUCAACCAUUUUUGACUUUGGAGUCGAGAAUAACUGAGCUUGUGGAUCCCAAUCUCGGGGAUGCUUUUGAAUUCGAUCAACUUCAAACAAUUGUGGAAAUCGUGACUCAGAAAGAAGGCAAGGCAAGACCAUCAAUUAAGAAAGUCCUCAGAUUUUUGUAUGAGAGUCCUGAAGUAAUGCACGGUGCUUUUGUUGAAGCUGUGGAAGAUGAAGAAUAUGGAGAAACUGGAGGUAGAGGAAGUACGAGCAGAGGUGAUUAUCUUCUGUGUAGUGGGAGACUAAUUCAGCAACAGGCAAGGGAACAAUAAUCUUCUGUGUAGCAGAUGAUUGCUAAGGACUAAUACAAAUUGAAGAAUUGCAAAUGUGAUAAUGUAUUAUAUUUUACCUUUUCAAGUGAAACGCCUUCGAUGUUUGGAAUAAAACAUGAGAUUAAUCUUCAACAGAUGAGAAAGCCAAAUAACCUGAAGAGAGGAAUUCAGUGGUAACUAGAAAAGGCAAAUGUGUCUGCCAUUGAUUUGAGGAAUCAAAAUUUUCUGUUUUACACAUCAAAUGUUCUUUGGCACUUAGAAUUGAGUUGUUAAAUGAUUGCACGACCAUUUUUUACUUUC